CCUACGGGUGGCUGCAGUGAGGAAUAUUGGUCAAUGGGCUUACGCUUGAACCAGCCAAGUCGCGUGAGGGAAGACUGCCCUAUGGGUUGUAAACCUCUUUUGUCAGGGAGCAACGCCGGCCACGUGUAGCCGGACUGAGAGUACCUGGAGAAAAAGCAUCGGCUAACUCCGUGCCAGCAGCCGCGGUAAUACGGAGGAUGCGAGCGUUAUCCGGAUUUAUUGGGUUUAAAGGGUGCGUAGGCGGAUUGCCAAGUCAGCGGUAAAAUCGCGGGGCUCAACCUCGCUCCGCCGUUGAAACUGGCGUUCUUGAGUGGGCGAGAAGUAUGCGGAAUGCGUGGUGUAGCGGUGAAAUGCAUAGAUAUCACGCAGAACUCCGAUUGCGAAGGCAGCAUGCCGGCGCCCAACUGACGCUGAAGCACGAAAGCGUGGGGAUCGAACAGGAUUAGAUACCCGUGUAGUC
rnacentral:rRNA from 1 species